AUUGAACGCUGGCGGCAGGCCUAACACAUGCAAGUCGAGCGGAGCGGCGGACGGGUGAGUAAUACCUAGGAAUCUGCCUGAGAGCGGGGGAUAACGUUCGGAAACGGACGCUAAUACCGCAUACUUUCAGAUGAGCCUAGGGCGGAUUGGCUAGGUGGUGAGGUAAUGGCUCACCAAGGCUACGAUCCGUAACUGGUCUGAGAGGAUGAUCAGUCACACGGGAACUGAGACAGGGGCAGGACGCCUACGGGAGGCAGCAGGGGGGAAUAUGGGACAAGGGGCGAAACCCUGAGCCAGCCAUGCCGGGGGUGUGAAGAAGGUCUUCGGAUUGUAAAGCACUGUAAGUUGGGAGGCGUUACCGACAGAAUAAGCACGGGCAAACACGGUGCAAGCAGCCGCGGAAUUC
rnacentral:rRNA from 1 species